rnacentral:rRNA from 1 species
GACGAACGCUGGCGGCGUGCUUAACACAUGCAAGUCGAACGGAAAGGCCCUGCUUGCAGGGUACUCGAGUGGCGAACGGGUGGGUAACACGUGGGGGAUCUGCCCUGCACUUCGGGAUAAGCCUGGGUAACGGGGUCUAAUACCGGAUAGGAGCCUUUUUGAGUGUGAUGGUGGGAGAGUUUUUUCGGUGUCGGAUGAGCUUGCGGCCUAUCAGCGUGUUGGUGGUGUAAUGGCCUACCAAGGCGGCGACGGGUAGCCGGCCUGGGUGGGUGGACGGCCACAGUCGCACUGAGAUUCGGCCCCGGCUCCGACUGGUGGGAGCAGUAGCGAUUGGUGCACUAGGGGCGCGAGCCUGAUGCAGCGCCGGCGCGUGCGGGAUGGCGGCCUUCGGGUUGUGAUUGUCUUGCGCUAGGGCCCGAGCUUUUUGUGACGGUACCUGGAUAAGAAGCUCCGGCUAACUCCGUG